rnacentral:tRNA from 2 species
GGGCGGUUAGCUCAGCUGGGAGAGCACCUCCCUUACAAGGAGGAGGCCGGCAGUUCGAACCUGCCACCGCCCACCA